rnacentral:tRNA from 1 species
CGGCCCCUGGGCAAGCCUGGUCUAUGCCGCCCCGACGGGGGAGAUCGGUGGUUCGAAUCCACCGGGGCCGAC